GCUACAGGCUUAACACAUGCAAGUCGAGGGGCAGCACAAGGCAGCAAUGCUGAGGUGGCGACCGGCGCACGGGUGCGUAACGCGUAUCCAACCUUCCCGUUACUCUUGGAUAGCCUUCCGAAAGGGAGAUUAAUACAAGAUGGUGUUGAAAUUCCGCAUGUUAUUUCAACUAAAGAUUUAUCGGUAACGGAUGGGGAUGCGUGACAUUAGAUAGAUGGCGGGGUAACGGCCCACCAUGUCCACGAUGUCUAGGGGUUCUGAGAGGAAGGUCCCCCACACUGGAACUGAGACACGGACCAGACUCCUACGGGAGGCAGCAGUGAGGAAUAUUGGUCAAUGGCCGGAAGGCUGAACCAGCCAAGUAGCGUGAAGGAUGAAGGUUCUAUGGAUUGUAAACUUCUUUUAUAUAGGAAUAAAACCUCCCACGUGUGGGAGCUUGUAUGUACUAUAUGAAUAAGCAUCGGCUAACUCCGUGCCAGCAGCCGCGGUAAUACGGAGGAUGCGAGCGUUAUCCGGAUUUAUUGGGUUUAAAGGGAGCGUAGGUGGCCUGUUAAGCCAGCUGUGAAAUACUGUAGCUCAACUACAGCCGUGCAGUUGGAACUGGUGGGCUUGAGUGCACAAGAGGAAGGUGGAAUUCGUGGUGUAGCGGUGAAAUGCUUAGAUAUCACG
rnacentral:rRNA from 1 species